UACGGGGGGGGCAAGCGUUGUUCGGAAUUACUGGGCGUAAAGGGCUCGUAGGUGGCCAACUAAGUCAGACGUGAAAUCCCUCAGCUUAACUGGGGAACUGCGUCUGAUACUGGAUGGCUUGAAUCCGGGAGAGGGAUGCGGAAUUCCAGGUGUAGCGGUGAAAUGCGUAGAUAUCUGGAGGAACACCGGUGGCGAAGGCGGCAUCCUGGACCGGCAUUGACGCUGAGGAGCGAAAGCCAGGGGAGCAAACGGG
rnacentral:rRNA from 1 species